GGACAGUGGCGGAAGGGUGAGUACAACAUGGAUAAUCUGCCUUCAAGUUGGGUAUAACUCCUCGAAAGGGGAGAUAAUCCCGAAUGUGGUGAUCCGGCGCCUGCCGGAGAAUCCAAAGGCGGGGACCGCAAGGCCUGCCGCUUGAAGAUGAGUCCGUGCACUAUCAGCUAGUUGGCGGGGUAACGGCCCACCAAGGCUAUGACGGUUAGCUGGUCUGAGAGGAUGGUCAGCCACACUGGGACUGAGAUACUGCCCAGACUCCUACGGGAGGCUGCAGUCGAGAAUCAUUCGCAAUGGGCGCAAGCCUGACGGUGCGACGUCGCGUGGAGGAUGAAGGUCUUCGGAUUGUAAACUCCUGUCAUGUGGGAUAAAUGGCCAGGGCAAGAAUACUGCCUUGGAAUGAUAGUACCACAGGAGGAAGAGACGGCUAACUCUGUGCCAGCAGCCGCGGUAAUACAGAGGUCUCGAGCGUUGUUCGGAUUUACUGGGCGUAAAGGGAGCGUAGGCGGUUCGGUGUGUUGAAUGUGAAAUCCCACAACUCAACUGUGGAAUGGCAUUCAAAACUACCGGGCUAGAGUACUGGAGAGGAGAGCGGAAUUCUUGGUGUAGCGGUGAAAUGCGUAGAUAUCAAGAGGAACACCGGUGGCGAAGGCGGCUCUCUGGACAGAUACUGACGCUGAGGCUCUAAAGUUAGGGGAGCAAACAGGAUUAGAUACCCUGGUAGUCCUAACCUUAAACGGUGUACACUUGGUGUGCGAGGAAUUGUCCCUUUGCGCGCCGCAGCAAAC
rnacentral:rRNA from 1 species